rnacentral:rRNA from 1 species
GAUGAACGCUAGCUACAGGCUUAACACAUGCAAGUCGAGGGGCAGCAGGGAUUUAGCUUGCUAAAUCCGCUGGCGACCGGCGCACGGGUGCGUAACGCGUAUCCAACUUUCCCGUUACUCAGGGAUAGCCUUCCGAAAGGGAGAUUAAUACCUGAUGGUGUUUGAAGUUCGCAUGUUCUUCAAACUAAAGAUUUAUAGGUAACGGAUAGGGAUGCGUGACAUUAGAUAGUAGGCGGGGUAACGGCCCACCUAGUCUACGAUGUCUAGGGGUUCUGAGAGGAAGGUCCCCCACACUGGAACUGAGACACGGUCCAGACUCCUACGGGAGGCAGCAGUGAGGAAUAUUGGUCAAUGGUCGGAAGACUGAACCAGCCAAGUAGCGUGAAGGAUGAAGGUUCUAUGGAUUGUAAACUUCUUUUAUAUAGGAAUAAAACCUCCCACGUGUGGGAGCUUGUAUGUACUAUAUGAAUAAGCAUCGGCUAACUCCGUGCCAGCAGCCGCGGUAAUAC